rnacentral:tRNA from 1 species
CCACAAAUGGAACCCCCUUUAAAGA